UGUUUUAGUCUGGUUAGAGGAACCUGUGUUAUAAACGAUACAACACGCAUUAUCUUACUUACUUUAGUAAAUCAGUUUGUAUACCGUCAUUAUUAGAUAAUUUAUGAGAAAAUAUUAUUGAGGUCAUAUUAUUGAGUAUAUUAGAUCAAGGUGCAGCUUAUGAGUAAGUAAAUAUGGGUUACAAUAAAAUUUAUUUAAUAUGAAUUAGGUAUUUAAAUAUAUUCAUGAAGGAGGAUUUAAUUGUAAGAAAAAAAUAGUAAGAUUUUUUGAUAAAAGCUCUAAAUUAU
rnacentral:rRNA from 1 species